GGGUUGUGAGGUUAAGUGACUAAGCGUACACGGUGGAUGCCUAGGCAGUCAGAGGCGAUGAAGGGCGUGCUAAUCUGCGAAAAGCGUCGGUAAGGUGAUAUGAACCGUUAUAACCGGCGAUACCCGAAUGGGGAAACCCAGUGUGUUUCGACACACUAUCAUGUCAUGAAUACAUAGUGGCAUGAGGCGAACCGGGGGAACUGAAACAUCUAAGUACCCCGAGGAAAAGAAAUCAACCGAGAUUCCCCCAGUAGCGGCGAGCGAACGGGGAGGAGCCCAGAACCUGAAUCGGCUUGUGUGUUAGUGGAAGCGUCUGGAAAGUCGCGCAGCAAAGGGUGAUAGCCCCGUACACUAAAAUGCACAGGUCGUGAGUUCGAUGAGUAGGGCGGGACACGUGACAUCCUGUCUGAAUAUGGGGGGACCAUCCUCCAAGGCUAAAUACUCCUGACUGACCGAUAGUGAACCAGUACCGUGAGGGAAAGGCGAAAAGAACCCCGGCGAGGGGAGUGAAAUAGAACCUGAAACCGUGUACGUACAAGCAGUGGGAGCACCUUCGUGGUGUGACUGCGUACCUUUUGUAUAAUGGGUCAGCGACUUAUAUUUUGUAGCAAGGUUAACCGUAUAGGGGAGCCGUAGGGAAACCGAGUCUUAACUGGGCGAUUAGUUGCAAGGUAUAGACCCGAAACCCGGUGAUCUAGCCAUGGGCAGGUUGAAGGUUGGGUAACACUAACUGGAGGACCGAACCGACUAAUGUUGAAAAAUUAGCGGAUGACUUGUGGCUGGGGGUGAAAGGCCAAUCAAACCGGGAGAUAGCUGGUUCUCCCCGAAAGCUAUUUAGGUAGCGCCUCGUGAACUCAUCUUCGGGGGUAGAGCACUGUUUCGGCUAGGGGGCCAUCCCGGCUUACCAAACCGAUGCAAACUCCGAAUACCGAAGAAUGUUAUCACGGGAGACACACGGCGGGUGCUAACGUCCGUCGUGAAGAGGGAAACAACCCAGACCGCCAGCUAAGGUCCCAAAGUCAUGGUUAAGUGGGAAACGAUGUGGGAAGGCACAGACAGCCAGGAUGUUGGCUUAGAAGCAGCCAUCAUUUAAAGAAAGCGUAAUAGCUCACUGGUCGAGUCGGCCUGCGCGGAAGAUGUAACGGGGCUAAACCAUGCACCGAAGCUGCGGCAGCGACGCUUAGGCGUUGUUGGGUAGGGGAGCGUUCUGUAAGCCGUUGAAGGUGGCCUGUGAGGGUUGCUGGAGGUAUCAGAAGUGCGAAUGCUGACAUAAGUAACGAUAAAGCGGGUGAAAAGCCCGCUCGCCGGAAGACCAAGGGUUCCUGUCCAACGUUAAUCGGGGCAGGGUGAGUCGACCCCUAAGGCGAGGCUGAAAAGCGUAGUCGAUGGGAAACAGGUUAAUAUUCCUGUACUUGGUGUUACUGCGAAGGGGGGACGGAGAAGGCUAGGCUGGCCGGGCGACGGUUGUCCCGGUUUAAGCGUGUAGGGGGUGUGACCUGGUAAAUCCGGUUGCAUAUCAACCCUGAGGCGUGAUGACGAUGCACUACGGUGCAGAAGUAGUUGAUGCCCUGCUUCCAGGAAAAUCCUCUAAGCUCCAGGUAACAUUAAAUCGUACCCCAAACCGACACAGGUGGUCAGGUAGAGAAUACCAAGGCGCUUGAGAGAACUCGGGUGAAGGAACUAGGCAAAAUGGUGCCGUAACUUCGGGAGAAGGCACGCUGGCAUGUAGGUGAAGUCCCUCGCGGAUGGAGCUGAAGCCAGUCGAAGAUACCAGCUGGCUGCAACUGUUUAAUAAAAACACAGCACUGUGCAAACACGAAAGUGGACGUAUACGGUGUGACGCCUGCCCGGUGCUGGAAGGUUAAUUGAUGGGGUCAGCCGCAAGGCGAAGCUCUUGAUCGAAGCCCCAGUAAACGGCGGCCGUAACUAUAACGGUCCUAAGGUAGCGAAAUUCCUUGUCGGGUAAGUUCCGACCUGCACGAAUGGCGUAAUGAUGGCCAGGCUGUCUCCACCCGAGACUCAGUGAAAUUGAACUCGCUGUGAAGAUGCAGUGUACCCGCGGCAAGACGGAAAGACCCCGUGAACCUUUACUAUAGCUUGACACUGAACAUUGAGCCUUGAUGUGUAGGAUAGGUGGGAGGCUUUGAAGCGUGGACGCCAGUCUGCGUGGAGCCAUCCUUGAAAUACCACCCUUUAAUGUUUGAUGUUCUAACUCUGCCCCAUAAUCUGGGGUGAGGACAGUGUCUGGUGGGUAGUUUGACUGGGGCGGUCUCCUCCCAAAGAGUAACGGAGGAGCACGAAGGUUAGCUAAUCACGGUCGGACAUCGUGAGGUUAGUGCAAAGGCAUAAGCUAGCUUGACUGCGAGAGUGACGGCUCGAGCAGGUACGAAAGUAGGUCUUAGUGAUCCGGUGGUUCUGAAUGGAAGGGCCAUCGCUCAACGGAUAAAAGGUACUCCGGGGAUAACAGGCUGAUACCGCCCAAGAGUUCAUAUCGACGGCGGUGUUUGGCACCUCGAUGUCGGCUCAUCACAUCCUGGGGCUGAAGUAGGUCCCAAGGGUAUGGCUGUUCGCCAUUUAAAGUGGUACGCGAGCUGGGUUUAGAACGUCGUGAGACAGUUCGGUCCCUAUCUGCCGUGGGCGUUGGAAGAUUGAGAGGGGUUGCUCCUAGUACGAGAGGACCGGAGUGAACGCACCACUGGUGUUCGGGUUGUCAUGCCAAUGGCAUUGCCCGGUAGCUAAGUGCGGAAAAGAUAAGCGCUGAAAGCAUCUAAGCGCGAAACUUGCCUCAAGAUGAGUCUUCCCUGG
rnacentral:rRNA from 1 species